rnacentral:rRNA from 39 species
CUCUCGGCAACGGAUAUCUAGGCUCUCGCAUCGAUGAAGAACGUAGCGAAAUGCGAUACUUGGUGUGAAUUGCAGAAUCCCGCGAAUCAUCGAGUUUUUGAACGCAAGUUGCGCCCGAAGCCAUUCGGCCGAGGGCACGUCUGCCUGGGUGUCACGCAUCGUUGCC